CUUAAGUGCACCACUUCUGCUUGGGCAGUACAUAGGUGGAAGAGAUUCUGUGGCAAAUAUGAUGCACAUAGCCAAAUCCAGGAAGAUCUAGACCCUUGGAGGCCCAGACCAAGUCUACCAUGACAGGCUCCUGCCAUCAGCGCCAUAUCGAGCAACGGCAUCUGGAAGCUCGUUUGGGAUGGGAACUGCUCCCUUUCACCACCCCUGCUGGCCUUCUGUGGGCAGAGAGAUGCCCUGUGACUGCUCCUGUCUGAUCACAUUCCCCACUCUCCUCACCCUGAAGCUAACAUCUCUGCACUGGCUGGAUGAACACAUACCCAAGGGCUUUGGUGAGGAUUAGGGUCUCUGUGCUCAGUACCAUGUUACAAACAGCUUGCAAUCAAAUGUGGAUUCAUAUAUAAGAAAAUGUAUGAAUAAAGUACUCCCUUUCAGAAAAAUUGAAUUUCUUUCCCAACACAUCAAUAAGUGUCCUCAGACAGAGGUGGUUGAAAAGAAGAGACAGCUGCCAUGGUGUGCAGCAGAGCUUCCUGACAAGGAUCCUACAUCCUGAAAGACUCCAGCAAGAUUGCAGCCUAUACAAAGGUAUAAGCAAUGAUAAAGACUUCCAGAGGUUUCUCCUGCCUUUCAUACUGGUGAUGUGUGAGGAAGGAAGAGGAGACUCACUGGAAAUGUUAGUUGUCUUCGUGCCUUUGAAAUCUGCUCCAUCACCCCUUUCCAUAAUGGCAGGAUUCUAGUACUGGAUGGUGCCAUUUGCUUUGUUAUGAACUAUGUGGCAGCAGUUAGAGCGCUGAUUUAAAAUGGGGAUUAUCUAGCUCUCAGCUUUCUCCUGAUGCAGGAAAAAAUGUCCUAAAUGUCCUCCCAUUUCCCAGAUCUCCAGCCCUGAUUUACUGUAUCCUGGGUGAGAGCAAUCACCAACUCUUCUUUCCAAGCCAUGCCAUGGUCAGUCAUCAGGCGUGCACAAGUUUUGCCAUGGCUUUCUCCUAGCUUUUAUCCAGUCACUCUGAACUCCACCAGCGGAUCUGCCCCAGCAUGGUGCAGCCACAACAGCAACAGGGAAAUGGCUGCACCACCGUGGUGCAGGUAUGAGAAGUCCUGGCUCAUAUGGAAGCUGAGAGAGGGUGCAGGUGCCUGUUGUGCUGUGCUUGGGCUGCCUUAGGAUCAGUAAUCUCAACCAUGCUGCCUGCACCAGCCACUGCAGCAAAGAGUGUGGGCAAAACUGAGGCUAAACCUCUGUGGAUUUAGCUGUCAUCAUCCAAAUAUGAAACUGUUGAAAAGGAGCAGUUUUGACAAACUGGACCAGUGUCUGAUAUUUGUAAACCAGCAUGUGUCUGUGUUCAUAUUUAUUCACACCAUUCUUCAAUGCUCCAGUUUCUAGAUUGGUGUGAGGAUAGUUCCUUGGAAAUUAAUAACUGUUAGAGCUUUGUGGCUCAGUGAGUUGUUUACUUCCUUACAUCAUUAAUACUAUCCUUGUAGGGAGGAGGAGUGUUCAAAAUAAUAAACACUCUUUCCUUCAUUAACAUGCUGAAGGCUGUGGAAGCAAAAGCAAGACAUGACUGCUAGUUACUGUGGGGCCUCAAAAUACACAGCUCCCAGCUGGUGCUUCAGUCCAUGCUCAGGUCUUUUCUCCUUGCUGUCAUAAAAAAGUGAUAUAAUCACACAAGCCCAAGUUUGCAUCUUUUCUGGCAUAUUGACUGUUCUGCUGUCUGCCUGUCUAUCUGUAUAUGUAUUGUAUACACAUCACUUAUAAAAUAUGCUGGAUUUGACAUAUUUGGUGUGGGUAUCACUCAUUGCAGGAAUUCACCCU